AACAAGUUUGGAACAAGCUGUUAACAACUUGUAACAAGCUUGAUGGCAUUAUCAGACUUGUUACAAGGUUCUAACAAGUCUGAUACAGCCAUGAUAUAACAAGAAUGUUACAAGGUUGAUGACACAAGGUUGUAACGACACCAUUAUAUCAUGACUGUAUCGGACUUGUUGGAACAACCUUGCCACACAAGUCUGAUAAUGUCAUCAAGCUUGUUACAAGUUGUUAACAGCUUGUUCCAAACUUGUU